rnacentral:lncRNA from 1 species
AGAUUUAUCCCUGCAGGGUGUGCCAAUUUACCUGUACACGUUCGUCCAACCCUUGAUGCCACUAGCAUGGAACACACGCAAAAGCAUGUGCCGGCAGGAUUGAGUGACACGACGUUUCCAAGCCCCACAACUAAUCCAGGGGACCACCCAACUGAGUCUAAUCCGAAACGAGAGCUCGGCCGAAGCGUCGUACGGACUCAAGAGUUGCGUGGACAGCUGGUAGUGG